AGCAUGAUUGCUGGGUCGUAUGGUAAGAAUAUUUUAAUUUUGUAAGAAAUUGCCAAACUGUCUUCCAGAGUGACUGUACCAUUUGCAUUCCCACCAGCAAU
rnacentral:pre_miRNA from 1 species